rnacentral:misc_RNA from 1 species
UACGGAGGAUCCAAGCGUUAUCCGGAAUCAUUGGGUUUAAAGGGUCCGUAGGCGGGAGAGUCAGUCAGUGGUGAAAGUCUGCAGCUUAACUGUAGAACUGCCAUUGAUACUGCUUUCCUUGAGUAAUUAUGAAGUGGUUAGAAUAUGUAGUGUAGCGGUGAAAUGCAUAGAUAUUACAUAGAAUACCGAUUGCGAAGGCAGAUCACUAAUAAAAUACUGACGCUGAUGGACGAAAGCGUAGGUAGCGAACAGG